rnacentral:rRNA from 1 species
GGGCCCGCACAAGCGGUGGAGUAUGUGGUUUAAUUCGAUGCAACGCGAAGAACCUUACCAGGGUUUGACAUCCUGCGAAUCUCUUGGAAACGAGAGAGUGCCUUCGGGAACGCAGUGACAGGUGGUGCAUGGCUGUCGUCAGCUCGUGUCGUGAGAUGUUGGGUUAAGUCCCGCAACGAGCGCAACCCACGUCGUUAGUUGCCAGCAUUUAGUUGGGCACUCUAGCGAGACCGCCGGUGAUAAACCGGAGGAAGGUGUGGAUGACGUCAAGUCAUCAUGCCCCUUACAUCCUGGGCUACACACGUACUACAAUGCUACGGACAAAGAGCAGCAAGUUCGCGAGGACAAGCAAAUCUCAUAAACCGUGGCUCAGUUCAGAUCGUAGGCUGCAACUCGCCUACGUGAAGGCGGAAUCGCUAGUAAUCGCAGGUC